CUCUUUCUAUUUCUGGAAAUAAUAUUAUAAAUGGGUCUUUCCCGGGAGCAUGUUGUGUGUGUGAUAGUAAUAAUAAUAAUGGCAAUGGGAAUGUUUGGAGAAUCUUUAGCUUCGUCUUCGCUCCACAAGGUGGGUGGCUCUGCCGGAUGGACAACUCUUGGCAACGUCGACUCUAUACCAAAAAUGGACUUCUUCCGACAUUUUCACCCCCGGAGAUUCUCUCUUAUUCGUUUACAACACACAGUUUCACAACGUCAAGCAAGUGAGCCGCCGUGACUUCCUCUCCUGCAACGCCACUUCAGCCUUAGCCACCUACAAUUCCGGAUCCGAUACGGUGGCUCUUAAAAACCCCGGCCACUACUACUUCCUCUGCGGCUUCCCUGGCCACUGCCAAGCUGGCCAGAAGCUCCAUGUCCUCGUUGUUGCCACCUCCACUGCCAGUCCCAGUCUUAGUCCGGAUCUAUCUCCUGCACCCUCACCUUCCAUCGGGUCGUCUCCAUCUCCCUCUCAGGCCACUGCUUCCGAAGACUCCGCUCAAAACGGUGCCAUUUCAGUUUCACUGUCCACGGCUAUGAGUGGCGUUGUCGUGUUUGUGGUGGCAUUGAUGCUAUAUUAAUCAAGAGAGUUGUUCAUGCCAUGUUUUUUUUAUCACCUAUUCAUGUCAUGUUUUGUGUUUGUUAUUAUCAGCUGUGUGUUUUUACUUUUUACUUUUUUUUCAACAUCCCUUUCUUUUUAAAAAACUAUAAUGAUUAAAGUAUUUGGUAUGAUUAUGGUCUUAUGCUGUCUGUCAAUGUGCAACGGUAGCGUGGCUUCUUAUAAGAAAAUUUAUUUUCCUUU